rnacentral:rRNA from 1 species
AUUGAACGCUGGCGGCAGGCCUAACACAUGCAAGUCGAACGGUAACAGGAAGCAGCUUGCUGCUUUGCUGACGAGUGGCGGACGGGUGAGUAAUGUCUGGGAAACUGCCUGAUGGAGGGGGAUAACUACUGGAAACGGUAGCUAAUACCGCAUAACGUCGCAAGACCAAAGAGGGGGACCUUCGGGCCUCUUGCCAUCGGAUGUGCCCAGAUGGGAUUAGCUAGUAGGUGGGGUAACGGCUCACCUAGGCGACGAUCCCUAGCUGGGCUGAGAGGAUGACCAGGCACACUGGAACUGAGACACGGGCCAGACCCCCACGGGAGGCAGGAGUGGGGAAUAUUGCACAAUGGGGCGAAGCCUGAUGCAGCCAUGCCGGGUGUAUGAAGAAGGCCUUCGGGUUGUAAAAUACUUUCAGCCGGGAGGAAGGGAGGAAAGUUUAUACCUUUGCUCAUUGACGUUACCCGCAGAAGAAGCACCGGCUAACUCCGUG